rnacentral:rRNA from 1 species
AUUGAACGCUGGCGGCAUGCCUUACACAUGCAAGUCGAACGGCAGCACGGGCUUCGGCCUGGUGGCGAGUGGCGAACGGGUGAGUAAUACAUCGGAACGUGCCCUGUAGUGGGGGAUAACUAGUCGAAAGAUUAGCUAAUACCGCAUACGACCUGAGGGUGAAAGCGGGGGACCGUAAGGCCUCGCGCUACAGGAGCGGCCGAUGUCUGAUUAGCUAGUUGGUGGGGUAAGGGCCUACCAAGGCGACGAUCAGUAGCUGGUCUGAGAGGACGAUCAGCCACACUGGGACUGAGACACGGCCCAGACUCCUACGGGAGGCAGCAGUGGGGAAUUUUGGACAAUGGGGGCAACCCUGAUCCAGCAAUGCCGCGUGUGUGAAGAAGGCCUUCGGGUUGUAAAGCACUGUUGUCCGGAAAGAAAUGGCUCUGGUUAAUACCUGGGGUCGAUGACGGUACCGGAAGAAUAAGCACCGGCUAACUACGUGCCAGCAGCCGCCGUAA